ACACUCGCGCACGUUCCAGGUGCUCGUAAUCCUAUUCACUACAGGGUUGCAGUUCAACGGGAAACAGGGAGCCAGCCACCGCCGCCAGGGCGGGGCCGAGCCAACCUGUGCUGCCCCCGCAACGGUAAGCGACCGUGAUCGCAAGAUCGCAAGGCCGACCACUCAGCCACUGAACCGCAAGGUUCGGGAAGGCGGUCGGACUGGUGUCGUCAGCCCGGAUACCGGCCUGAACGAGAGUGCGCCGC
rnacentral:ncRNA from 14 species